rnacentral:rRNA from 1 species
AAUGGGGGAAACCCUGACGCAGCAACGCCGCGUGAGUGAUGAAGGUCUUCGGAUUGUAAAACUCUGUCUUCAGGGACGAUAAUGACGGUACCUGAGGAGGAAGCCACGGCUAACUACGUGCCAGCAGCCGCGGUAAUACGUAGGUGGCGAGCGUUGUCCGGAAUUACUGGGCGUAAAGGGCGCGUAGGCGGCCUGUUAAGUCAGAUGUGAAACCCCCAGGCUCAACUUGGGGAUUGCAUAUGAAACUGAUGGGCUCGAGUGUCGGAGAGGAAAGCGGAAUUCCUAGUGUAGCGGUGAAAUGCGUAGAUAUUAGGAGGAACACCAGUGGCGAAGGCGGCUUUCUGGACGAUAACUGACGCUGAGGCGCGAAAGCGUGGGGAGCAAA